rnacentral:lncRNA from 1 species
AUGCCAAUUCUCCAGCAUGAGAAUCUGAAGGGCUCUUUCUCAUUGACUUUGGCUGUUGGUUAUGACUUUCUGACUGAAAUCAAGCUUCUAGUGUACGCAGUCUUCUCAUAUGGACAGCUGGUGGCUGAUGUGGAAAAGUUGCAAAGUGCUUCAGACACAAGGUGGCCCUGAAUUUUUCACAUAAGGAGGAAGUCCUAGGGUCAGAAGUCACUCUGGACCUGAAAGUGGCUCCAGGGUCCCUGUGCUCUGUCCAAGCUGUUGACAAGAGUGUACUACUUUUGG